rnacentral:lncRNA from 1 species
UCAGAUGAGACCUUGACCUUGACUCAGGUGGAGUGAAUUGGUCUCCUAUAAGUUGAUUUACCUAUCCACCCUGCAGCAUGGGUACCGAUUCCCAUCUUGCUUGCUUUAGUCAUUCAUAGCUAUUUUGUACCAAUUGUUCUUAUUAAUUUCAGUGUAUUUUGUAAUCUUGGCAUGUAUUAGCCACUGUUAUUAAUUGUUAUUAAUUCAAAAUUAGUUGCAUAUACUGAUACCAAAAUAUAUGCAGAAAGAUAUUUUGUUGAAGUGUGUUUUGAUUUAAAGCUGAAAAGGGAUGUUUUAUAUGGAUUGGUUAGCUACUGGAAAGCAUGUUUUGAUAAGUUGUUGGUCCCUUCUUUUUAAAUCCUAUAUCAAAUAAAGUCGGUAUGUUGAGUUGGUACCCUAAACCCUAUAUAUAUAUAUAUAUAUAUAUAUAUAUAUAUAUAUGUGUGUGUGUGUGUGUAUGCAUGUACUUCAACUAAACCUAGCUGGUUUUUACAUUUUUCAAACUAUCUGCAUAUGUCCAUGUAUAUAGUAUAUCGAAUAAACCAUGUCUGAAGUUGGAAACGAUUACAUAAUGCAUGUAUAUGUGUGGUUUAAUAUGUUUAAUUUCAUAAAACAGGCUUUUAUCUGACUAUUGGCCAAGGCUAUUUUUCAUCACCCAGCUUAUACACCAAGAAGACAGCAUGCAUAUUUAUAUUUCAAUUGGGUGUUGUUAAAUUAGUAAUCCCAGCUACUUUAAUUAGGAUUAAAGUUCAUGUCAUGCGUUUAGUAAUUGUCUUACAUUUGUGAAAUAGGACUUGAUCAAGGUGGUGGACUCUUGUAAUAGAGAGUUGGAGCAAUUCUUUGGAAUCUAGGUAGGAGAAAUACAGCAGAUCUUUACGGAGAUUGAUUCUAUUAAAUUUCGUGGAAUACUAUUAUUAUUGUUUAUCUCAUUGGUCUAUAAUUCUUGUGGAGUGUUAAUUGGAAAUGUGUACAUCAUUGUUUCGCUGGAUGACUGUGUUGUAGUUGUCUAUGAAUUACUUUUGAUUGAGAAUAUACUAUGAUAUCUAAAAUGAAAGUAUUUGUGAAUCAUUGAUAAUGUGUCAUGUGGCAGUAGUUACGGCGUUGAGAACGAAAUUGGAAAGGAGGGUAGUUGGAAAAGACAUUUUUUGUAGUUGAGCCAAACUCUUAGUAAGUACCAAGUUUCAGACGAGCCUUUAGUGCAUAAUUUCUUUUAGAAUAAUUCUGGGUUGGUGACGAAGAGUUUAGGCAAGAGGACUAACAAAAGGGGAUAUUGGGAUGGUUGUGUUAUGGGGUUUAAUUUGUAUAAUAGAACAUUCGAACCACCACUGCAGAAGCAAAAUGCACGGUAUGGGACGUGCAGGUCUGUGUUUUAUUAUAUGAAUUAACAGGUAGAGAUGAAGAGUAUUGCAUUGCACUCUUGCAUUGUUAUCGACAAUGAUUUGGUACUGAAUUACAUCAUUUUAUGAAACUUAAUUUAGUAUUGUUAAUAUCUGUGAUAAUGUUAUGUCUCUACUGAGCUGUUAAAGCUAACCCCUAUAUUGUUAUGCAGGUUUACGAACUAGACCGUCAAAAGAAGGUAGACGGGAUGAGAUAGAAUUAGAUGUGAGGCUAGAAUUUGUAUUUAUUUAUUUUAGCCUUGUAAAGAAUUCUUGAGUUUCUUUUUAAUUGAGGAAUAAUUUUUUUACCCUGUUUUGAGUUUCUUUUAUUUAUUUAUCUUUUUAGCUUGCCUGCUGGAUAUGGGUUUGAAUUUUUCCGCCGAUCUCGAGUCGAAGUGUGACAAAAUGGUAUCAGACCAUACGAAUUAGAUACCCUUGGGAUUGAACUGUAGUGCCAACUAGAAAAGUUGAACUAAAAGGAACUAGGGCAUUGGUCCCUGGACCUUUGCAUUUUAUUAGUUGUUGAUACUUACUUGUAGUGUCAAUUUGAGUAUAGCAGUGUGAGAUACUAGUAUUCUAGUUAUAGGUAGUUCCAUGGGUUUUUAAAAAGUUUUCAUUUCAUUGGCUUUGCUUACAUCUUGUUGGUUACUUGCAGUACAAUCAAUUAGUUGAAAAAAAAUAUAUUUCAAGUCAUGUGUUCCAUGUUAUUCAUUGAAUUUUCAUGGAUUCUAUGAUAGUGGUUGGAGCACAAGUUUCUCUUAGGGUCCAUCAGAUGACUGAGAAGAGCAAUUCUAUAUUUUCAUAGUUUUGCAAACAUUACAUCUCUUUUAGAAAAUUCCUAGUUGGGAAUGUCUUAGAAAUUUGAUGUAAGAGACUCUCUUAGACAGGAAAUUAAAGUUCAGGUUGGAUCUAUUGAAUUAUUUAUUAGUUCGAUUAUGUUUCGAAGAGGGAACCAAUUCACAUGCGACUCAUUCCUACUUGGGGAUAACAAAAAGAAGGACCGUUAAGUGACAUUCUCAUUCCUACAUGAGUUAGUGUUAAACAUGGUGUCUCAUUCCUAUACAACUCAGGGUUGUAUGAUGAACUACUGAAAUGUUAUUCCUACACAAUUUUGGAUUGUGUGAUGAGUAGAUUAUAUUUCAUUCCUAAACAAUUUCUGGUUGUGUGAUAAAUCUAUUAAACUUCAUUCAUACACAAUUAUUGGUUGUGUGAUAAGUUCAAUAAAAUUCAUUGAUAAAGAAGUUCAUUCCUAUACAACUUCUGGUUGUGUGAUGAGACUAUUGAUCCUCAUUCCCAUAGCUUCAGGCUAUGUGAUGAGUAAAAUGAAAUCACCAAUGUCGGUGAGAAUAAAAUAAUUAAAUAGUGGGCCCAAGUGAUGGGUCACAUUUCUGAAUGUUGUCAUACCACGAAGCCAUUAAGGAUACUACACUUAGUACUAUUUCACUUGGAAACUGGAUUCACUCAAAUUCCAAUUACUGGGGUUGAGGUUAAUUUGGUUAGACUGCUUGUUAAUUACAACCGUUUUUCCUAAGAUUAUUGUUCGAAGCAACUAGAGUUGUGACUGUGAGUUAAGCUUUGGGAUUGAGCUUUUGGUUUCGUGCAAAAUUGUGUGAGUAAGUGGUUUUCGAAAAUAAUUUUGUUAGUACACAAGAAAAAUAAUUUGUUCCAAAUGCAAAUUUUGUGUUUCAUUUCAAAAUUUUCAUUUGCUCGUUUCGAAAAGGAAAAAGAUAUUAGUUAUGUUUUUAUUUGAUGGGUCAAGCUCAAUUUUAUCGCUGCUUGAAAAGAAAACUUAUGUUUUGGCAUAUAUCCGUUUUACUAUCAGUGGAUUUUACAGUGUUUUACUAUAUAUAAAGGGAAGAAACGCUAGAGUUGGAAGCCAAUACAUAAAAAUUGCAAUCCACUUAAAAUGGAAGGGUAAUCUCUAUGCAACCAUUUUGGUUGGAUAUUCUCAUAGUUUCCUUCAACUACUAUUAUAUGUUGAGUAAGGUCUUAUAAAUUUCGAUCACAAAAUUUAUUUUAAAUAGGAUGGAUCGUAAAAGACCCGGAUUUUAUUUAUAUUAUUGAUCUAUUUUUAUUUAUUUUUUAAAUAUAAUUAUUUAUGUUUCAAUGUUGGUCUCCUCUUGUUGAGCAAAUGAAAGAAAGGGAUGCUAAGAAUGUCAAAGGAUAAAGGGGUAUUUGUAGGAUACAUGGAGAGCUCUCCAAAUUAGCAGGAGGUGGGAGUAUGUGGUGAUGAAAGAGUUUUCCCUACUUAAGCAGUUGACACCUACUGCAUUCAAGUAAGUGAGUAAGCUAUCUGUUUAGCUUGAGUUCGUCCUAAUCAAGUUGGAAGCUAGAAUGGAUUUGCCACGAGGUGAAAUAGGUGUCACACUACUAGACACAAAACCCCUUGGCUUUGCACGUAGCAGUUUGUUAUGGUCCAUCCAGUAUCUAUUCACCUACUGCCUUUCCUCUAGUAUAAAUAGAGAUGCAGCCUUCAUGCUAACUCAGAGAGAGAGGGAGAAAGAGAGAUAGAGAGAGAUCAGAGAAGAGACUGUAUAUUUGUCGGAACAAUUUAUAGCAGAACUCCUCUGUUCCCUUUUCCGUUAAGCUUCCUCUAUGCCUUCGAGUAAUAGAGCGUGUUCUUAGUUUUGGUUUCUUAUCCUAGCACUGAGAAGAAACGGUGAAAUCAGUAUUCAACUAUGAGGUUAGAAUGGAAACAACCCAGAAACUGAUCAGAUGAGACCUUGACUCAGGUGGAGUGAAUUGGUCUCCUAUAAGUUGAUACCUAUCCACUUGCAGCAUGGGUAACGAUUCCCAUCUUGCUUGCUUUAUUCAGUUCAUAGCUAUUUUGUAUCAAUUGUUCUUAUUAAUUUCAGUUUUAUUUUGUAAUCUUGACAUGUAUUAGCCACUUUUAUUAAUUCAAAAUUAGUUGCAUAUACUGAUACCAAAA